rnacentral:sRNA from 1 species
UUUAAAGUUUCACCGACCUAGGACAUAAAUAAAACGUUAUAAUAUGUAUUCAACCUUCAUUUUAAUCAUGGUAACGGUAAAUCACAAUCCAAUAUCUUUAUACAGUUUAAAAAUGAAAUCACUUAUUAUACUAACACCCUUAUUGCAACGGUUCCUAAUAAAGAGGGCGUUUAAGUGAGUAAUGAUCAUGAUUCACGACAACUUACACAAAGCAUGCUUCAAAAGAAAAAUAUCCAUGCCGCUUAUCUUUUACUCUAGACGCGAUGCAGGCAUGGCAAACAUGUUGAAUUACAACUGGUUAUUCCUCAACUACAAUUCUUACUAGUAUCAAUUAUACAAACACGGCUUCAUGUGAAUAUGUUGUGAUCUUCAAAAGGCAGACAUUAGAACCGCCAAUGUCCUUGCAUCUGUCUGGUACAUAUCUCUAUUGAAGCACUGAAUAUAAAUCAAAGGUAACCGGCCACUCAACAGCCAAUAAGGUUGAAAAAUGUUGAGGGUAAUAGAUAUCAGGUCUUGAACUUCUGUGUGAAUUUUUGAGUGAUUUUCUCAACCCCUUCUCUACAAUCACCAGCAACACGCUUUGCACCUUCUUUGAUACCAAAUCCAACUUCAAUAGCACUUUGUUGCAACUCACUGGCUGACUUACCUACCUUUGAUAUGGCAGCUUCUCCAAAUUCUUCAGUUUGUUUUCCUGUUCUGGAUGCCCAUUCCCUCAAUUUUGAUAUAAAUUGGGAGACCAGGUGGAUGAUUUUGUCAAGUAUGUCUCUAGAUUUUCCUCUGACAUCUGAUGCCAUUUGUUUGAGCUUGUCCAAUAAGUUUUCGGCCCUGUCGACUGUUCCUUGAACCGAAAUCUGCUUUGAGGCAUUGAGCCAUGUAACUCCAGCGGAGGCCUCCUUGCGAAGGUCAUCGUCAACUACCACUUUGAUCCCAUGCCUCUCCCAACGAUCUCUAGCCUCCUCUAAGGCUAUUGCUUGCUCUCUCACUCGUUUGGCCUCAUCCUCUGCCCAAGCCCUGAAUCCAAGAAUUAACAUAACCAUUUAUUCAGAUGGUAAUUGGGUACAUAACCAUUUAUUCAGAUGGUAAUUGGGUAACAACUAUCGUUUUAUACAAAAAAUGAGUUUAUCUGAGCCGUUUCAUUUAACUACAAUAAACAAUUGUCGAUAAGGCAUUUGUCUCACUGAAAGAAGCAGUUAAAUAGUUGCUAGAGAAAAUUACAGUCGCACAAAGGAAUGCAGUGUCAGAAAGGAGGGCAUGUACGGUGAUCAUUCGUCUAAUUAGUGUAUCAGCAUAAGUAAGUUGUGUAAUUAGUUUUAAUUGAGUUAAAAUAUAUUUUUGAUCCCUUCAGGUGCCGCUCAUUUUCGAUUUGGUAUUGUACAAAAUAUGCUCCAGUUUAGUCCAUGUAAAGUAUACAUUAAGGCUGAAUAAGAGCAUCAACCUAUAAGAGGAAAGGUGAUGAGAAACAGAAAGGGAACCAUUUUGAUAUUCAGUUUAUGAAGUUAUUGACACCACAUUUAAGAAAGAAGAGAAGGAGAAUGAUAAGUCAUGGAUCACCACAAAUUACCAUGAUAAGAUCAAACAGUAUAACUAUUUUCAAUUUAGUCCUUGCUACAUGUUACUGCUACAUAACCAACAUUUUGGAAUUUAUAAUAUACACAGCAGCCAUUGAUCUCUAUGCUGCACAGUAACUCCAUACAAAACUUCUAGUGUUAGAAGAAGUUCUACAAAUGGCAAGAAAAAAAAUUGAGA